rnacentral:lncRNA from 1 species
UUUAGAAGUCGUUUCAAGUUGUUCUGCAUGACUGACUGACUGCUGCUUUCUGCCGCCCCGGUGUCUCCACUUUAUGCCUCCCCACACGGAAAACCCACUGCCGGGUCCCAAAAAAUGGUACAAGAAAGGUAAUGCAGAACCCGAGCUUCUUGGCAUUUACAGUUCCGUUUAGGAAACAAAAUGGAAAUAACUGUAAAGAAAAUUGUGAGCCGUUUCUGCAAUAAAUGUUUAAGAGUCGAACAAGCAGAUUUGAGAAGAAAGAACUCACGAUAUGACAAGGGAACGCUUCAGGCCGACAGUGGGAUGAGAGCAGAGUCCUUUAUGAGAGCGAAAUUUGAAAGAAGAAACAGGAUACAGUACAACGAGAUUAACCAGGAAAGAGCCAGCAACCUGUUCAACCUCCCGUCCAGAUGGAGGUGUCAGCCUCAGCCAUAAGCCUGAUCGUGGCGAACAAUUUCCAGUGCUGAACAUCCCAAAACUCAUCUGCUGGGCAUUAAAACUCGAGAAAUUCCCACAUUAACUACUGCCAGAGUUUUUGUCAGCAAAAUAUAACCAUGGUUUAUCACCCAAAGUUGAUACAUUUUUAUCCAAAAGGAAAUACAGUUGAUCCUCAUUACUCACAGAGCCUGUAUUUGUGAAUUUGUCUAUUCGCUAGCAUUUACUUGUAAUCCUAAAAAUCAAUUCUUGUGGUGCCUUCAUUGUGGUUCAUGGACAUGCACAGAGGGUGGAAUUCUCAAG